AGAGUUUGAUCAUGGCUCAGAUUGAACGCUGGCGGCAGGCCUAACACAUGCAAGUCGAACGGUAACAGGAAACAGCUUGCUGUUUCGCUGACGAGUGGCGGACGGGUGAGUAAUGUCUGGGAAACUGCCUGAUGGAGGGGGAUAACUACUGGAAACGGUAGCUAAUACCGCAUAACGUCGCAAGACCAAAGAGGGGGACCCUCGGGCCUCUUGCCAUCGGAUGUGCCCAGAUGGGAUUAGCUUGUUGGUGGGGUAACGGCUCACCAAGGCGACGAUCCCUAGCUGGUCUGAGAGGAUGACCAGCCACACUGGAACUGAGACACGGUCCAGACUCCUACGGGAGGCAGCAGUGGGGAAUAUUGCACAAUGGGCGCAAGCCUGAUGCAGCCAUGCCGCGUGUAUGAAGAAGGCCUUCGGGUUGUAAAGUACUUUCAGCGGGGAGGAAGGGAGUAAAGUUAAUACCUUUGCUCAUUGACGUUACCCGCAGAAGAAGCACCGGCUAACUCCGUGCCAGCAGCCGCGGUAAUACGGAGGGUGCAAGCGUUAAUCGGAAUUACUGGGCGUAAAGCGCACGCAGGCGGUUUGUUAAGUCAGAUGUGAAAUCCCCGGGCUCAACCUGGGAACUGCAUCUGAUACUGGCAAGCUUGAGUCUCGUAGAGGGGGGUAGAAUUCCAGGUGUAGCGGUGAAAUGCGUAGAGAUCUGGAGGAAUACCGGUGGCGAAGGCGGCCCCCUGGACGAAGACUGACGCUCAGGUGCAAAAGCGUGGGGAGCAAACAGGAUUAGAUACCCUGGUAGUCCACGCCGUAAACGAUGUCGACUUGGAGGUUGUGCCCUUGAGGCGUGGCUUCCGGAGCUAACGCGUUAAGUCGACCGCCUGGGGAGUACGGCCGCAAGGUUAAAACUCAAAUGAAUUGACGGGGGCCCGCACAAGCGGUGGAGCAUGUGGUUUAAUUCGAUGCAACGCGAAGAACCUUACCUGGUCUUGACAUCCACGGAAGUUUUCAGAGAUGAGAAUGUGCCUUCGGGAACCGUGAGACAGGUGCUGCAUGGCUGUCGUCAGCUCGUGUUGUGAAAUGUUGGGUUAAGUCCCGCAACGAGCGCAACCCUUAUCCUUUGUUGCCAGCGGUCCGGCCGGGAACUCAAAGGAGACUGCCGUGAUAAACUGGAGGAAGGUGGGGAUGACGUCAAGUCAUCAUGGCCCUUACGACUAGGGCUACACACGUGCUACAAUGGCGCAUACAAAGAGAAGCGACCUCGCGAGAGCAAGCGGACCUCAUAAAGUGCGUCGUAGUCCGGAUUGGAGUCUGCAACUCGACUCCAUGAAGUCGGAAUCGCUAGUAAUCGUGGAUCAGAAUGCCACGGUGAAUACGUUCCCGGGCCUUGUACACACCGCCCGUCACACCAUGGGAGUGGGUUGCAAAAGAAGUAGGUAGCUUAACCUUCGGGAGGGCGCUUACCACUUUGUGAUUCAUGACUGGGGUGAAGUCGUAACAAGGUAACCGUAGGGGAACCUGCGGUUG
rnacentral:rRNA from 1 species